UGGGGAAUAUUGCACAAUGGGCGCAAGCCUGAUGCAGCCAUGCCGCGUGUAUGAAGAAGGCCUUCGGGUUGUAAAGUACUUUCAGCGAGGAGGAAGGCGUUGUGGUUAAUAACCGCAACGAUUGACGUUACUCGCAGAAGAAGCACCGGCUAACUCCGUGCCAGCAGCCGCGGUAAUACGGAGGGUGCAAGCGUUAAUCGGAAUUACUGGGCGUAAAGCGCACGCAGGCGGUCUGUCAAGUCGGAUGUGAAAUCCCCGGGCCCAACCUGGGAACUGCAUCCGAAACUGGCAGGCUAGAGUCUUGUAGAGGGGGGUAGAAUUCCAGGUGUAGCGGUGAAAUGCGUUAGAGAUCUGGAGGAAUACCGGUGGCGAAGGCGGCCCCCUGGACAAAGACUGACGCUCAGGUGCGAAAAGCGUGGGGAGCAAACA
rnacentral:rRNA from 1 species